rnacentral:rRNA from 1 species
AGGACGAACGCUGGCGGCGUGCUUAACACAUGCAAGUCGAGCGGAAAGGCCCUUCGGGGUACUCGAGCGGCGAACGGGUGAGUAACACGUGAGCAAUCUGCCCUUAGCUUCGGGAUAGCUCCGGGAAACCGGAAUUAAUACCGAAUAUGACUUCGGCCGACAUCGGCCUUGGUGGAAAGUUUUUCGGCUAGGGAUGAACUCGCGGCCUAUCAGCUUGUUGGUGGGGUAAUGGCCUACCAAGGCGACGACGGGUAGCCGGCCUGAGAGGGCGACCGGCCACACUGGGACUGAGACACGGCCCAGACUCCUACGGGAGGCAGCAGUGGGGAUAUUGCGCAAUGGGCGAAAGCCUGACGCAGCGACGCCGCGUGGGGGAUGAAGGCCUUCGGGUUGUAAACCCCGUUUCAGCAGGGACGAAGCGAAGUGACGGUACCUGCAGAAGAAGCGCCGGCUAACUACGUGCCAGCAGCCGC